rnacentral:rRNA from 1 species
AAUCUUCCACAAUGGACGAAAGUCUGAUGGAGCAAUGCCGCGUGAGCGAAGAAGGUUUUCGGAUCGUAAAGCUCUGUUGUGAGGGAAGAACAAGUAUCGGAGUAACUGCCGGUACCUUGACGGUACCUCAUUAGAAAGCCACGGCUAACUACGUGCCAGCAGCCGCGGUAAUACGUAGGUGGCAAGCGUUGUCCGGAAUUAUUGGGCGUAAAGCGCGCGCAGGCGGCCUUUUAAGUCUGAUGUGAAAGCCCACGGCUCAACCGUGGAAGGUCAUUGGAAACUGAAAGGCUUGAGUACAGAAGAGGAAAGCGGAAUUCCACGUGUAGCGGUGAAAUGCGUAGAGAUGUGGAGGAACACCAGUGGCGAAGGCGGCUUUCUGGUCUGUAACUGACGCUGAGGCGCGAAAGCGUGGGGAGCAAACAG